rfam:Cathartes aura contig74240, whole genome shotgun sequence.
AUGCUUUGGCACCAUGCGUGGUGAAAUUGGAACGAGGGAGAAGAUUAGCACAGCCCUUGUGUAAGGAUGACAAGCAGAUUGCCUGAGUAUUUUCUAGGGAAU